CUCGAUAUGACGAGUCCCAAACAGGACGAAACAGCUGUCCAG
rnacentral:hammerhead_ribozyme from 1 species